AGCAGCCGCGGUAAUUCCAGCUCCAAUAGCGUAUAUUAAAGUUGCUGCAGUUAAAAAGCUCGUAGUUGAAUUUCGGGACCAUCAUGUCGGUCGUGCCUCGGUACGUACUGGCAUUGUUGGUUUCUACCUUCUGACGAACCAUGAUGUCAUUUAUUUGGUGUCGUGGGAAAUCAGGACUGUUACUUUGAAAAAAUUAGAGUGUUUAAAGCAGGCUCACGCUUGAAUACAUUAGCAUGGAAUAAUGAAAUAGGACGUUUGAUUCUAUUUUGUUGGUUUCUAGGAUCGACGUAAUGAUUAAUAGGGAUAGUUGGGGGCAUUAGUAUUCAAUUGUCAGAGGUGAAAUUCUUGGAUUUAUUGAAGACUAACUACUGCGAAAGCAUUUGCCAAGGAUGUUUUCAUUAAUCAAGAACGAAAGUUAGGGGAUCGAAGACGAUCAGAUACCGUCGUAGUCUCAACCAUAAACUAUGCCGACUAGGGAUCGGAUGAUGUAAUUUUUAAUGACUCAUUC
rnacentral:rRNA from 1 species